rnacentral:snRNA from 1 species
AGCCGUGUGGUGAGUACAGAAGCGAACUAUUCUUUCGCCUUUUACUAAAGAAUACCGUGUGCUCGUCACUCAAAGCGGCAUACGCCUAUUUUUGAAGGGGCUUCUCUCUCUUGAGAUGA